rnacentral:misc_RNA from 1 species
GAUGAAGAACGUAGCGAAAUGCGAUAAGUAGUGUGAAUUGCAGAAUUCCGUGAAUCAUCGAAUCUUUGAACGCACAUUGCGCCCGCUGGUACUCCGGCGGGCACGCCUGUCCGAGCGUCAUUUCAACCCUCAAGCCCUCCUUCGGGAUGGGCCUGGUGUUGGGGCUCGGCCGCCAUCUCCGGCGGCCGUCCCCUAAAUACAGUGGCGGUCACGUCGCGACUCCUUUGCGUAGUAGAAACACCUCGCUCCGGAUAGCAACGCGGUCCACGCCGUAAAACCCCCAAUUUUCAAUGGUUGACCUCGGAUCAGGUGGGAAUACCCGCUGAACUUAAGCAUAUCAAUAAGCGGAGGA